rnacentral:rRNA from 1 species
UCAUGCUGAUAAGGGCAUAUGGUGGAUGCCUUGGCACUAAGAGCCGAUGAAAGACGUGAUAAGCUGCGAAAAGCUUCGGGGAGGAGCAAAUAUCCUACGAUCCGGAGAUCUCUGAAUGGGGAAACCCACCUGAGAAAACCUCAGGUAUCCUUAACCCAAUCCAUAAGUUAAGGAAGGGAACCCGGUGAACUGAAACAUCUUAGUACCCAGAGGAAGAGAAAGAAAACUCGAUUCCCCUAGUAGCGGCGAGCGAAGCGGGAAGAGCCCAAACCAGGUUUUCGGACCUGGGGUUGUAGGACUUCAUAAUUUGACAAUAGGUUAAUAGAAUACAGUUGGAAAGCUGAACCAUAGAAGGUAAAAGUCCUGUAUAUGAAAGCCGACGAUAGAAGGAAGUAUCCUGAGUACUGCGGGACACGUGAAAUCCCGUGGGAAGCUGGAGGGACCACCCUCCAAGGCUAAAUACUCCUUGAUGACCGAUAGUGAACCAGUACCGUGAGGGAAAGGUGAAAAGAACCCCGGGAGGGGAGUGAAAUAGAACCUGAAACCAUAUGCUUACAAACUGUCAGAGCACCAUUUAAGGUGUGAUGGCGUACUUUUUGUAGAACGGACCGGCGAGUUAUGUUAACAAGCGAGGUUAAGCAGGAGAUGCGGAGCCGUAGCGAAAGCGAGUCUGAAUAGGGCGAAUAGUUUGUUGAUGUAGACCCGAAACCCGGUGAUCUACCCAUGGUCAGGUUGAAGCUGAGGUAAGACUCAGUGGAGGACCGAACCGACCUCUGUUGAAAAAGGGGCGGAUGAACUGUGGGUAGGGGUGAAAUGCCAAUCGAACCCGGAGAUAGCUGGUUCUCCCCGAAAUAGCUUUAGGGCUAGCCUCAGGUAAGACACAUGGAGGUAGAGCACUGACUGGCCGCGGGGGCGUCAAAGCCUACCAAAGCCUAUCAAACUCCGAAUGCCAUGGUGCCGUUGCCUGGGAGUCAGACUGCACGAGAUAAGUUGGGCAGUCGAGAGGGAAAGAGCCCAGACCACCAGCCAAGGUCCCAAAGUACAUGUUAAGUGGGAAAGGAUGUGGGAUUUCGAAGACAACUAGGAUGUUGGCUCAGAAGCAGCCAUACAUUCAAAGAGUGCGUAAUAGCUCACUAGUCGAGAGGUCCUGCGCCGAAAAUGUCCGGGGCUGAAACAUGACACCGAAGCUGUGGGAAUUGUCUAUCCUACGGAUAGCCAUGGAAAGAAUGGAAGAGCAUCCAUUCUUUCGGGUGACUAUGCGCAGGGUAGAUAGUUCGGUAGGGGAGCAUUGCUAAAGAGAGGAAGCAGUACCGUAAGGAGCUGUGGAUUUUUAGGAAGAGAGAAUGCCGGAAUGAGUAGCGAGACGAAGGUGGGAAUCCUUCGGGCCGAAUAUCCAAGGUUUCCAGGGUAAAGCUGAUCUGCCCUGGUAAGUCGGGACCUAAGGCGAGGGCGAGAGCCGUAGUCGAUGGACAACAGGUGGAGAUUCCUGUACUCCGUAUGGACAGAACUGUGGGGACGCGGGCAGAAAGCCAGAGCCGGGAAUGGAAAACCCGGUACAAGCGAGGUAGCCGUGCUGCAGGUAAAUCCGCAGCAUAAGGCGAAUGCGUGACGUGGAGCGAACCAAAGGGUAGCGAAGCUGGCAGGCUGGCCGCCGAGAAAAGCCGCUAUUGUUCCAUGCGGACCCGUACCGUAAACCGACACAGGUGGAUGAGGAGAGGAUCCUAAGGCCGGCGGGAGAAGCAUUGUUAAGGAACUCGGCAAAAUGACCCCGUAACUUCGGGAGAAGGGGUGCCUGGGGAACCAGGCCGCAGAGAAUAGGUCCAAGCAACUGUUUAGCAAAAACACAGGUCUAUGCGAAACCGAAAGGUGAAGUAUAUGGGCUGACGCCUGCCCGGUGCUGGAAGGUUAAGGGGAGGGCUCAGGGAGUGAUCCCGAAGGUCUGAACUUAAGCCCCAGUAAACGGCGGCCGUAACUAUAACGGUCCUAAGGUAGCGAAAUUCCUUGUCGGGUAAGUUCCGACCCGCACGAAAGGCGUAAUGAUUUGGACGCUGUCUCGACAAUGCACCCGGUGAAAUUGAAAUACCAGUGAAGAUGCUGGUUACCCGCGCCAGGACGGAAAGACCCCAUGGAGCUUUACUCCAGCUUGGUGCUGGGAUUCGGUACUGCAUGUACAGGAUAGGUGGGAGGCUAAGAAG